CCCCCCCCCCCCCCGGUGGUCGGCGCUCCUCACUGCUGCCGUAAGAUGGUUCGAUCUUGGUGUGGGUCAUUUUGAUGGCAUUUGUUGCUGAGUCACCUACUAGGAGCAGUGGAAUCAUUUGGUUCUAGUUAAACCAGUGGAAUCCGUCUAUAGUUCUUCUCUUGCGAGGGCGUCGUCAGCUUUAUGUCUGUAGGUGUGCUGAAGCUGUUUCAGCGAGUGUCCGUGCGUAAGAAUUGUUGAUCUUGGUUGGCUUAUCUCCCCCGUCGAUUACAAGGAUUUUUCCUUGUCCCUAGUAUAUCUUGCUCUCUCCAUCUGACUAGUGAGGUGUGAUGGUUGUUGUAUUUGAGUCUCUGGUAUUGGUUGUUUCUUGCUUUCCUCCUUGUCGGUUUGCUUCUGCUUUGACAUCGGUGGGAGGUCUUCCGAUCUUUGUGGGGCUUCCGACGUUCACAUGUUCUAUAAGGAAGCUUGGUGAGAGUCUAUGUUUCCCUUGCUCAAUUAUAGUGCUUAGGUUUCAAUUCCUCCUUAAUAAUUGCUCCUCUUUCGAUGUUUGUGUAUGGUUGGUAAUUUAAGUUCCCUGUAUGUGGGGUUUUAAUUUCCCUUUUGUGGGUUUAAGUUUCUGGAGACAUCUUGUUCGUCUGCCAGCUUAAGAGAUGUCAACUUGUAUUCCACUUUGGUUUAAAUCAAAAUUCAGAUGACAAAAAAAAAAGAACAAUUUAUUACCUGCCA